rnacentral:rRNA from 1 species
GAAGCGGCAACAGCUCAAAUUUGAAAUCUGGCGCAAGCCCGAGUUGUAAUUUGUAGAGGAUGCUUCUGGGUAGCGGCCGGUCUAAGUUCCUUGGAACAGGACGUCAUAGAGGGUGAGAAUCCCGUAUGUGACUGGCUUGCACCCUCCACGUAGCUCCUUCGACGAGUCGAGUUGUUUGGGAAUGCAGCUCUAAAUGGGAGGUAAAUUUCUUCUAAAGCUAAAUACCGGCCAGAGACCGAUAGCGCACAAGUAGAGUGAUCGAAAGAUGAAAAGCACUUUGGAAAGAGAGUUAAAAAGCACGUGAAAUUGUUGAAAGGGAAGCGCCCGCAACCAGACUUUGCGGCAGUGUUCGGCCGGUCUUCUGACCGGUUUACUCGCUGUCGCGAGGCCAUCAUCGUCUGGGACCGCUGGAUAAGACCUUAGGAAUGUGGCUCCCCUCGGGGAGUGUUAUAGCCUCUGGUGAUGCAGCGCGUCUCGGGCGAGGUCCGCGCUUCGGCAAGGAUGAUGGCGUAAUGGUUGUCGGCGGCCCGUCUUGAAACACGGACCAAGGAGUCUAACAUCUAUGCGAGUGUUCGGGUGUCAAACCCCUACGCGUAAUGAAAGUGAACGGAGGUGGGAACUUUUUGUGCACCAUCGACCGAUCCUGAUGUCCUCGGAUGGAUUUGAGUAAGAGCAUAGCUGUUGGGACCCGAAAGAUGGUGAACUAUGCCUGAAUAGGGUGAAGCCAGAGGAAACUCUGGUGGA